CCGACCUUAGCUCAGUUGGUAGAGCGGAGGACUGUAGUGGAUAAUUUACAGACAAUCCUUAGGUCGCUGGUUCAAAUCCGGCAGGUCGGA